UGAAAAGAAUUUAUCUCCUUCCUGCCACUUUCUUUAACCUAAAACGGUUACCUUCUCCCUACUGAGCCUCACUCUCACCUAAAAAACGAAUCACCCUCCCCUCAAAUCGCCUUCGUGUUUCUGUCAUUUGACCAUCGCACAUCUCCAAUAGGCCUUUUGGCGUGUGAUUCUGCCCGCCGAAACCUAUCUCGUAUUCUUCAUCACAACGGUUUGCAGCCGUCCUACACUAUCAAUCGGUUCCCCUGGAUUACUUCGAUUACAAUAACCGACGUCACGUUCCAACCGAUCUCUCUUAGGAUGAAACAACGCGUUUAGGGCGGACUUUGGGGCAUUCACUGCUUACGUAAAGAAUGACUUCGUAUUUGGGGAAACACCUACACCUAAAAGAAGAAGAAUUCCUAUAUAUCAAGGUUUGAGCAAUUCACGUCGGUCAAAUAUGACUACCAAAAGGCAUGGACACCAGUAAUAAUUAGGGGUGCAAACAAGCCGAGCCGAUCUCAACAGAAGCAAGUUGGUAUCAUGUUGAUGUUCUGCUUGCUGAUUCAGGAUAUGAUCUUGUAUGACCUUCAUGCUCAAGUGUGUUCUUUUGCCAUUGGUUUAUAGUUGACCAACCAUAGAAAUAAUGACAAGUGAAGUCUUACUCUCUUGGAAGUUGAUGACAUAGAACAUGAAGCAAGAAGCAAUACAAAUCGGUAUGUUGUGGAAUUGUUCCACUUUGAACGUUAAGUGCUUGUUUUUUUUUUUUUACUUAAAUUAGGAUUUUCGGGCAUUGAACUGAGCCGAUUUUCAGGUAUCGGGUAUGGUUUUUUGUAUUGAAAUGCCUACCUUAUGGGUAGAGUCGGUUCUAUGCUCGGUUAUGAAAAAGCUUGGUUUGGGGUAUUCCUACCGGGUUUUACAUGAAUGUAGAAAAAAGGCUUCGAUUACAGAUUUAGUAAUUCAUCAUAGCCUUCAUAGAAUGACACACACCCAAAGGUUUUGUGGCAUGCCCUUGCAUUGUAGCGGCAAGACCGACAAGAGUACAAGAUUGUCGAUUUUGCUUGUUAGUUUUGUGCUUCAUAUGUAUGAUAUUAACACUUAUUAGAUGUUUGUUAGCAAACGUUUGGAAUAUGUUUGGAAGUGGAUUAAAAUUUUAAUUGAAGUGAUGAUAUUAUGAUUUCCA